GAUGAAGAACGUAGCGAAAUGCGAUAAGUAAUGUGAAUUGCAGAAUUCAGUGAAUCAUCGAAUCUUUGAACGCACAUUGCGCCCGCCAGUAUUCUGGCGGGCAUGCCUGUUCGAGCGUCAUUUCAACCAUCAAGCCCUGCUUGCGUUGGGGUCCUGCUGCCCGCAGGCCCUGAAAACCAGUGGCGGGCUCGCUAGUCACACCGAGCGCAGUAAUACAUCUCGCUUUGGGCGUGCGGCGGGUUCUUGCCGUUAAACACCCCCUUUUUACCAAGGUUGACCUCGGAUCAGGUAGGAAUACCCGCUGAACUUAAGCAUAUCAAUAAGCGGAGGA
rnacentral:misc_RNA from 1 species